AUAAAAAACCAAUGCCCUUCGGGGCUUUUUGGUGAUUCAUGAUAACUUUACGRAUSGCAUAGCCUUGCGCUGGCGACGGUUCAUUCAAAUUUCUGCCCUAUCAACUUUCGAUGGUAAGGUAUUGGCUUACCAUGGUUUCAACGGGUAACGGGGAAUUAGGGUUCGAUUCCGGAGAGGGAGCCUGAGAAACGGCUACCACAUCCAAGGAAGGCAGCAGGCGCGCAAAUUACCCAAUCCCGACACGGGGAGGUAGUGACAAUAAAUACUGAUACAGGGCUCUUUUGGGUCUUGUAAUUGGAAUGAGUACAAUUUAAACCUCUUAACGAGGAACAAUUGGAGGGCAAGUCUGGUGCCAGCAGCCGCGGUAAUUCCAGCUCCAAUAGCGUAUAUUAAAGUUGUUGCAGUUAAAAAGCUCGUAGUUGAAACUUGGGCCUGGCUGGCGGGUCCGCCUCACCGCGUGCACUCGUCCGGCCGGGCCUUCCUUCUGAAGAACCUCAUGCCCUUCACUGGGCGUGCU
rnacentral:rRNA from 1 species